UUAAUACCGCAUAAGCCCACGGUGCCGCAUGGCACAGAGGGAAAAGGAGCAAUCCGCUUUGAGAUGGCCUCGCGUCCGAUUAGCUAGUUGGUGAGGUAACGGCCCACCAAGGCGACGAUCGGUAGCCGGACUGAGAGGUUGAACGGCCACAUUGGGACUGAGACACGGCCCAGACUCCUACGGGAGGCAGCAGUGGGGAAUAUUGCACAAUGGGGGGAACCCUGAUGCAGCGACGCCGCGUGGAGGAAGAAGGUCUUCGGAUUGUAAACUCCUGUUGUUGGGGAAGAUAAUGACGGUACCCAACAAGGAAGUGACGGCUAACUACGUGCCAGCAGCCGCGGUAAAACGUAGGUCACAAGCGUUGUCCGGAAUUACUGGGUGUAAAGGGAGCGCAGGCGGGAAGACAAGUUGGAAGUGAAAUCUAUGGGCUCAACCCAUAAACUGCCUUCAAAACUGUUUUUCUUGAGUAGUGCAGAGGUAGGCGGAAUUCCCGGUGUAGCGGUGGAAUGCGUAGAUAUCGGGAGGAACACCAGUGGCGAAGGCGGCCUACUGGGCACCAACUGACGCUGAGGCUCGAAAGUGUGGGUAGCAAACAGGAUUAGAUACCCUGGUAGUCCACACCGUAAACGAUGAUUACUAGAUGUUGGAGGAUUGACCCCUUCAGUGCCGCAGUUAACACAAUAAGUAAUCCACCUGGGGAGUACGACCGCAAGGUUGAAACUCAAAGGAAUUGACGGGGGCCCGCACAAGCAGUGGAGUAUGUGGUUUAAUUCGACGCAACGCGAAGAACCUUACCAAGUCUUGACAUCCCUUGACAGGCAUAGAAAUAUGUUUUCUCUUCGGAGCAAGGAGACAGGUGGUGCAUGGUUGUCGUCAGCUCGUGUCGUGAGAUGUUGGGUUAAGUCCCGCAACGAGCGCAACCCUUAUGGUCAGUUACUACGCAAGAGGACUCUGGCCAGACUGCCGUUGACAAAACGGAGGAAGGUGGGGAUGACGUCAAAUCAUCAUGCCCUUUAUGACUUGGGCUACACACGUACUACAAUGGCGUUAAACAAAGAGAAGCAAGACCGCGAGGUGGAGCAAAACUCAGAAACAACGUCCCAGUUCGGACUGCAGGCUGCAACUCGCCUGCACGAAGUCGGAAUUGCUAGUAAUCGUGGAUCAGCAUGCCACGGUGAAUACGUUCCCGGGCCUUGUACACACCGCCCGUCACACCAUGAGAGCCGGGGGGACCCGAAGUCGGUAGUCUAACCGCAAGGAGGACGCCGCCGAAGGUAAAACUGGUGAUUGGGGUGAAGUCGUAACAAGGU
rnacentral:rRNA from 1 species